GGGGAUUUAGCUCAGAGGUAGAGCGCUUGCCUAGCAAGUGCUAAGGCCCUGGGUUCGAUCCCCAGCUCCG
rnacentral:tRNA from 1 species